rnacentral:rRNA from 1 species
CCCUUAGAUGUUCUGGGCCGCACGCGCGCUACACUGAUGCAUUCAACGAGUUCCUACCUUGGCCGAGAGGCCUGGGCAAUCUUUUGAACUUGCAUCGUGAUAGGGAUAGAUUAUUGCAAUUAUUAAUCUUGAACGAGGAAUUCCUAGUAAACGCAGAUCAUCAAUCUGCAUUGAUUACGUCCCUGCCCUUUGUACACACCGCCCGUCGCACCUACCGAUUGAAUGGUCCGGUGAAGCCUCGGGAUUGUGGUUAGUUCCCUUCAUUGGAAGUUAGCCGCGAGAACUUGUCUAAACCUUAUCAUUUAGAGGAAGGUGAAGUCGUAACA